rnacentral:lncRNA from 1 species
UUUGCCAUAAUGCUUUGUCCACCUCAACUGAGAGCGAACAGUAAGUAUUGGUAGAACAGCAAAUAGCUUCAUCUGAGUAGGGUGUUUGGGACUCAUGCACAUGACAAGAUUGGAAAGGCAGAUUGGGUAUAGGGUACCUUGGGGCCAGGUUUAGGAGUUUGGAAUUUAUCUUAUAGGCUACCCUUUCCUGGAAGCUUCCUCAGAACCUCAGGGCAAUGAGAUGUUUCACAAGAGAACGUUCCAGGGUCAGGGGAGUGCCAGCUGAUUACUCUGGGCUCAAGAACACCUUUUGAGGACUUAUGGAUCUGGGCCUCAUAAAAACAGAGAAGGUAUGACAUAGCUCCACCUACAUGCAAGGGGAGCCAGGAAGUGCAAUCCCUGGCUGGGCUGCCACGUCUCAGAAACCAUUAAGCCUAUGGAAGGUCUCUGGAUUUGAUGGCAAAUGGCAGCAGAAAUGUGGAAAAGAUCAAAGUGAUGUCAAGGUUGAUCUCUGAGUUUGGCAUGGCUGAACUCAAACAUCAUUUGCCAUGGACCCACAGUGUCUUCAGUAGCUGAGUGUGGUGUCAUUCCCCUAUGAUAUGUGCACUCAAUUGCUGGCCAGUUUUUGUUUUUUGUUUUUGAGAGAGUCUCGCUUUGUCUCCUAGGCUGGAGUGCAG